CAUGGGAGUAUUUUUAUUAUUCGAAGCAUAUAAUGGCAAAAUAAUAAUAAAUUGACGAUGUAGGACAACAUUCUUCCCCAAUGGACCGUUUAUCUCAUUGGUGGUCACCGGUGACCACCGUGGCGCCUUGAAGAUAUUAGUAAACAGUAUUACGAUCAUUUUUAAGAUUUCGACGAAACAUUCGGCUGAAAUGGUAGAGGUAAAAGAAAAUUAUGUUUGUGAUAAACCAAUGGUACUGGUAGAUCACAACGGAGGAAAAUGUGUUGCAGAUUUAUCAGAUCAAACGAUAGCAUAUUGUACACUACACAGAAGAACCCUCGAGUGGUAUAUAAAAUUAACUUUAGAGUUAUUGUUAAAUACUUCAAUUUCAAACGCGACGAUACUCCAUAAACAAGCGACAAAAACAAAAAUCAAGGUAUCGGAUUUUAGAAUGGCACUCGCGAUGCACCUUACACAGUGCCAUGCACCAGAGCCGUGAAAUAUACUUAUUCGAUAAAGAUCGCGACACGAAAUGCAGAAGAAAGAAGAGCAAGCGUAUCUGGCACGAAAAUUUUGCAGAGAGUGGUAUAAAAAAAGUGUUAAACAGUUAAGAUCAAAAAUUGCUAAGAAUCGGACCAAAAAGGUGACCACUUAUCGUCCAAAUUGCAUCGACGAGCCACAUUUAUGUUUAAAGUGUUUUAACACAAUGCACCGUUAGAUGCAACAUUUGUCCUCAUUUUUUUUUAUCGAUAUUCUAAUAAAAAUGUUUAAUUGUUCAA